AACUCGAGCUAAUACCGCAUAAGCCCUACGGGGGAAAGCGGGGGACCUUCGGGCCUCGUGCUAUUAGAUGAGCCUGCGUUGGAUUAGCUAGUUGGUGGGGUAAAGGCCUACCAAGGCGACGAUCCAUAGAUGGUCUGAGAGGAUGAUCAGCCACACCGGGACUGAGACACGGCCCGGACUCCUACGGGAGGCAGCAGUGGGGAAUAUUGCGCAAUGGGCGAAAGCCUGACGCAGCCAUGCCGCGUGUGUGAAGAAGGCCUUCGGGUUGUAAAGCACUUUCAAUUGGGAGGAAAG
rnacentral:rRNA from 1 species